rnacentral:tRNA from 1 species
AUUUAAAUAGCUUAAGAUCUAAAGCAUAACAUUGAAGAUGUUAAGAUGAUUAAUAAAGUCUUUAAAUA